CAAUGUGCACAAGUACCCUAAAACUUAGAGUAUAAUAAAAAUAAAUAAAUAAAUAAAUAAAUAAAUAAAUAAAUAAAUAAAUAAAAUGUACUCACCCUUGGAUUUAGAAAAAAAAAAAAAAGGCCCAUUUGAAAGUGUUUCCUUAGAUUAAAUUUAGAAGUUGAAAUCAGAAUCUGCUAAAUGCAAUGGGAUUAAAUGUGAUAAGACUUCCACAUUCUUAUGGAGGAGACGUUUAUGUGAAAUAAAUGCCUACAGUUGAACAAACGAUACCCUUAACGUCUUCUUCUGGGAAAAUAGUUAAGUUAUCCUGUCUCUGUUAAUUAAAUGGAAAACAUUGUUACAUCAAUUCAGUUACUCCUAUAAAAGUUGGCAGGAUCUAAAUCUUGUGCCUUUUUCCAGGGCCAACUGUUAACUUCCAAAAAGAUUGCUCAUAGACUACUCAGUCCCCUUGGGCAGGCACUACAUAGGGCUUUCUUCUUGUUAACAAAGUUAUUGUUGACUCAACUAUAGACAGCCCCAGAGGCUAUCUGGGCUCUGAUUAUAUUUUGUACAUUAUAUUUUGUACAUUAAUGUACAUUAUAUCCAUGAUUGGGCUAUAAUGUACAUUAAUGGCUAAGAAUUUAUGUUCUGGAUUCUUCAAUCUUUCAUUAAUAUUCCACUUCUCCCAUAAUUCAUUUUGGUACUUGGAAAUGUUAUCUAGUCUGUUGCAUUCAUAGGGGAAAACUUGGAAUAAUUUGGGGUAGUGCUUAGUCCCACUCUUGGCAUCUAGUGACUCUCAUAUCAGAUAGAGGCAGUCAUCGCAGUGGCCCAAGUGAUCUUGCAACAUCUCCAUCCAUGUUGCUCCAAAGGACCCAAUUUUACUGUAAAUGGUUGUAUAGUAUUUUAUGGUCUACAUAGACCAUAUUUACCAUAUGUUCAUCCAUAUUUUCUUCAUUAAUCUAGCUUUUAAAAACAACUAAUUUGAUUUCAAGUGUUUGUUAUUUAAAAGCCAAGAAGGAAAACAAAUUUUUUUCUUGUAUCACCAUUUAUUUAUUAUUAUUAUUAUUAUUAUUAUUAUUAUUAUUAUUAUUUACUAAGGAAUGGGAUUGGUAGGUUUAAUGAUCCCUCUGUUUUGACUUCUUUGAGAUAUUUCCAGACUACUUUCCACUUUGACUGUAGGAAUUUACAUUGCAUCAACUGGGUCUAAGUAUUUCUUUUUUUCUGAAGUCUUGCUAGCUUCCAUAAUUUUCAUAUUUUUAAAUAAUGUCUAUUCUUAUUGAUACGAAGUGUUAUCUGUUUGUGGUUUUGAUUUGCAUUUGCUAAGAAGAGCCAGCACAAGUACUCAGGAUUUUCAGUAAGUUAGGAGGGUCCCUUUACUUCAAAAGGAGCACACCAGCUGUCUAGUAAUGACUCUCAAUCAGUCUGUACUUUCUGAAAUUACAGAGAUAGAAUUCACAAUCAGAAUAGCAAUAAAUUAGUUGAGAUUGAGCAGAAAGUUGAAAUAAUUCAAGACAGUUAAUUCAUAUAGUGGAACAAUUCAUUCUCACAGGGAGAUUAAAAUCCUAUUUUAAGAAAGAUCCAAGCUGAGCUUCUUGAGAUAAAAAUAAUUACUACAAGCAUUUUUUAAAUACAAUCAGAAAUUAUAACAGCAAAAUAGACCAAUCUGAGGAAAAGAUUUCAUUGCACAAACACUAGUUCUUCAAAUUAACACACUCAGACAAAAAUCAGAAAAUGAAACACAUAAGUGAAAAGCAAACUUAUGACUAAUCAGUAUUUCUGCUCUUCUUCAAAUAAUAGUUCUUAAGAAUCUAUGACAUUAAGAAAACACCGUAUGAGGAAUAUUUGUAAACCCACAGGAGCCGUUUCUCAAUUGUAAAAUAAAGUUUUUCUCUCUCCUGUCCCUGAGAGACAUCCCGUUAAUAGUAAUAGAAUAGAUCAUCAAAGUAAGGAAGACAAUUUCUUAAUGACAUAUCAAUGAAUCAGAUGAGGUAGAUCACAGAACUGCUCUUCUCCAGCUCCCUGAUAGUCUUUUAGGGCUUUUAUUGGGUAUAUGCCACACUUCAAAAUAAUGCUGCUCUGACAAUGUGACAACUCAUUUUCUUUGUUGCUAAAUGCUGUAAGCUAACACAGAUAGCCCCCUAAAUAGAAGAAUAAUGGAACCUAAACCCUGUGUGAGAAAUAUUUAUGUGAAGGAAUUUUGUCAUGGAAGCCAGAGGUUGUUUAUCUGAAGAAUAAUUAUGCAAGUAAUUUCUCACGAUUGGCUAUUAGAAGAAUUGAUGUCUGUCUUUUCCAACUUCAUGAUAAAUUUCCAUUGAGUUCAUUUUAUACUUAACCCUUUAAGUAUAAAGUAUAUACUUCAAGUAUAAAGUGUAAGGUUGCUUCAUUUCAUGGGCCCACCCAGGAUUUAAAGGUGUAUUCCCUGAAAGAAUUGGUUCCUUCCGGUGGGUUCCUGGCUGACUUCAAGAAUGAAGCUGCAGACACUUAUGGACUGGGAGGAGGCCCACGAGAAAAACAGGAAGAACAAGAGAAAGGCUGAGGCUCUAGUGGCUGCUUUGCAGACUUGCAGAGUCCAGGAUCCCCCAGGAACUUCCACUGAUUGCUACCUGUUACCAGUGUUAAAGCCAGGGCACUUUAAGAAGAAUUGCCCAAGCCACAAGAAAAAGCCACCUUGACCACUUUUGUGGUGAAGACCACUGGAGAUUGCACUACUGACCACCAAGACAGAGACACAAUAGCGAAUCUAGAAGUGGAAGUGUGAGAGAUACCUGCAGCUGUUAAGAUGUCUGGGAAUAGACACACAAACUCUCUCUCCCAGAUAAGCAACACAAAGCAGCACAGAGCAACAGAGACUGAAAGUCUGCCUACCUGAUCAGGGAAUAAGUUAGUGAUGGCAAUAACAAGCUGUCUGGAGGAGCUACUGCCAUCACAAAGGCUGCAGUGGUGAGGCAUGAGUGGUGCCAGCAAGACAGGCUGAGGGAGAAGCAGUGGUGGCAGUCUGACCCCAUGCCCCGUGUCCCUGAGGCAGCUGAUGGUGCUGCUCCAAUCCUUUCACCACUGCACAAAACUUGUUCCCAGGCCCAGAGACUUCAUUGCUCUAAACUCUGGCCCCACACUGCUGCUCUCACACACUGCCACUACUAGGAUGGUUUCGGAAGGAGGAAGACAGUCACUGGAGCCUGCCCCUGGGAGCCUACUGCCCUGGAGGCCACUGCAAUAAAGUCAGGUUGAUUCACUUAUCAACAGGAGAGCACCGUGGUCAGGCAAAGAAGGGCCCAAGGUGGAGAUGGUACAAGGGUAGUGUGUUACUUCCACAUGGAGUGCAGGGGCUGGCCUGCAGUGCAGAGCUGAGACCAUGAUUCAGGAGCCCAGGGUGGGAAGUGUGAGUGGUGCCCACAUCGGAUGGCCAUGGCACUUACACCUCUGAGGGUGCCAGGUUCUUGUGCCUUGAGAGAGGCUCUGAGUGGAGCCACAUGUUCACUGGGUCUGCCCCAUAUCAGAGUGACCACUGAGACUGACACUUCCUGAAAGCAUUUUCCUGAGAAGGGAUGCAACCUGGGUAAGGGGAAGCCCUGGGCCACCCUGAGCACUGGGUGGGGGGGCAUUGAGCGAUCUCACAGAAAUGUCACCCUUGCCCCAGACACCAAACCAGGCCCAGUGAGGACAUGGAUUCCCUGCCCCAGGCUGCAAGAGGGCAUGACUGGGGCUGCUUGCUCCACAGAGCCAGUCUCCACUUGGAGGACAAGUGGGACCAGUGCCCUUUCUGAGUUGGUGGGUGGUAACUCCCCAGGUAAAGCUGCUGCUGCCAUUCUGCCACUGCAAAGCUGGAAAUUUCUGCACUCUCAGGGUUGGAAAAUGCCCUUUUGCCUCCCCAUGGGCUUGAGGGUACUUGCUCCCACUGCCGGGAUUCUCCCUAGUGUUGAUGCCUCCUUCAGUAUUGGAGCAAGCUGGGCACUGAGCCUAGGUGCUGUUGCAGCCCAGCCUAGUAUGCACACACUCAGGGCAGAAUUGACAGGCCAGCCCCCUGCCAUUUUGGCCCUCUGCAGACUUUGGCCACCAACAAGCACAGGAGGGAGUACCAGUGGUGUGGUGGGGGUGCUGAGGGCAGCCUGGGGCUUGCAUCUUGGUGACCCUUAGCAUGAACAGUCUCGGAACAAUUUACAGCAGCAGGAGGCAGACAGGCUGUUUGACCGAAGGGGACAGAACUCAGAUGAAACCCCAUCUUCAAGCCAGGGAGGGCCCAAAGCCUGGGGUCCAGGCAACCAGUUCCAGAGACCAGAAGGGAAACUUGUGUUGCUUGUUCCUGAGCCCACCCAUGGCAACCAAUGGACCAAUCAGCACUCACUUCUUCCUCACUGCAGUCCAUAAAAAGCCUACACUCAGCCAGACUCAAAAAGAAGAUAGAUGAUGGUGAGAUGAAGGACUGGUCUGCCUGCAGAGAGGAGCUCUCCGCUACAAGUCUCUCCCUUCUAGGAGAUGAACAUUUGUAGGGAGACCCUGACUGAGCCACCAACUGCAGGUCUUCUCUGAGCUGUUUUAUCACUCAAUAAAACUCCUUCUCAUCCUACUUACUCUUCACUUGUCUGCAUACAUCAUUCUUCCUAGUCACAGAACAAGAACUUGGAACUUAUCGAAUGGCAAAUCUAAGAAAGCUGUAACACAAACAGGGCUAAAACAUGUCCCUUGGUUCCCACAUUAUGGGCAAAAAGUAAGAAAAAAAAAGUUGUGGUCUUCAGGAACCUCAGACCUGUGAGCUCCCUGAGGCAAGUUUGUGACUUUAUUUUGGGGGCACUGUGGCUUCUGAGGCAAGGUUAUGACUUUCUUUCUGGGGCACUGUGGUUCCUGGCAUCUCCAAGCCUCAAGGCACCACCACAUUUCUCAGUGCUAGUCAUAAAAGCUACUUUCAGUACCCCUGGUCCAGCUGCAGCCUUGCAGAGACCUGGCAGAUGGAAUUGCCCACUACAUGGCAGCAGCCAGCGUGUCUGACUGCAGUAACCAGAAUUCACUCUUGCUGACACACCUUUUGCUGCUUCACACCUGACUUGUAAUCUUUCUUAGAGGAUGGUAUCCAGACAAGUAGCAUAAGCCAAGCAUAGCCUGCCAGGCCAAAUUAGUGGAAUAAGCCCGGUGGGCCUAAGAAAAUGCAGGCAAAUGAGCUACCAGCUACAGAUAUUUCCAUCCAGAAAAGUGACAUUUCCAAAUAUCUCAUAUCUCUAGGUUUUCCAGUACUAUCUUGAGUAAGUGUUGUCAGUCGACAUUCUUUUCAUAUUUCAUACCUUAGAAGAAAGGCUUUUAGUUUUUCUUCAUUCAGUAACAUACUAGCUGUGGAUUUGUAAUAUAUGGAUUCUAUUUUGUUAAAGCAUGUCAUUUCUAUACCCAGCAGGUUGAGGGGUUUCAUCAUUGGGAGUGCUGAAUAUAUUCGAAUGCUUUUUCAGAGUUAACUAAAAUAAUCAUGUGGCUUUAUUCCUUCCUUCUGUUGACACAAUGUUUCAUAUUAAUUGAUUUACCCAUAUGUUGAACAAUUCUUGCAUCAAAGGAAUAAAUCCAACUUGGUCAUAAUGAGUGAUCUUUCUAAUGCAUGGUGAAAUUUGGUUUGCUUGUAUUUUGUUGAGAAAUUUUUCAUAAAUAUUUAUAAGAGAUAUUGGCCUGUAGUUUUUCACUGAUGUGUUCUUGUCUGGUUUUGUUAUUAGAGUAGUACUCGUCUUGUAAAGUUACUUUAAAAGUAUUACCUCCUACUCUAUUUUUCAGAAAAGUUUGAAUUUGACUUGUAUUAAUUUUUAUAAAUGUUUGGUAGAAUUCAGCUGCAAAGACAUUAGUUCCUGGGUUUAUUUUAAGAACAUACUUUAUAUAUAUAUAUGUGUGUGUGUAUAUAUAUAUAUGUGUGUGUAUAUAUAUAAUUAUACUUUAACUUCUAGGGUACAUGUGCACAAUCUGCAGGUUUAUUACAUAUGUAUACAUCUGCCAUGUUGGUGUGCUUCACCCAUUAACUCAUCAUUUACAUUAGGUAUUUCACCUAAUGCUAUCCCUCUCCACUCCCCCUACCCCAUGAUAGGCCCCAGUGUCGAAAUGUUCUCAUUGUUUAAUUCCCACCUAUGAGUGAGAACAUGUGGUGUUUGGUUUUCUGUCCUUGCAAUAGUUUGCUCAGAAUGAUGGUUUCCAGCUCAUCCAUGUCCCUACAAAGGACAUGAACUCAUUCUUUUUUAUGGCUGCAUAGUAUUCCAUGGUGUAUAUGUGCCACAGUUUCUUAAUCCAGUCUAUCAUUGAUAGACAUUUGAGUUGGUUCCAAGUCUUUGCUAUUGUGAAUAGUGCUGCAAAAAACAUACUCAUGCUCAUGUCUUUAUAGCAGCAUGAUUUAUAAUCUUUUCAGUAUAUACCCGGUAAUGGGAUCGCUGGGUCAAAGGAUAUUUCUAGUUCUAGAUCCUUGAGGAAUCGCCACACUGUCUUCCACAAUGGUUAAACUAGUUUACACUUGCACCAACAGUAUAAAAGCAUUCCUAUUUCUCCACAUCCUCUCCAGCACCUGUUUUUUCCUGACAAUUUUUUUUUUAUAAUUUAAGUUCUAGGGUACAUGUGCACAAAGUGCGGGUUUGUUACAUAUGUGCCAUGUUGGUGUGCUGCACCCAUUACCUCAUCAUUUACAUUAGGUAUAUCUCCUAAUGCUACCCCGCUCCCCAUCCUCCACCUCACAAUAGGCACCCGUGUGUGAUGUACCCCUUCCUGUGUCCAAGUGUUCUCCUUGUUCAGUUCCUACCUAUGAGUGAGAAUGUGUGGUGUUUGGUUUUUUAUCCUUGCAACAGUUUGCUGAGAAUGAUGGUUUCCAGUUUCAUCCAUGUCCCUACAAAGGACACGAACACAUCCUUUUUUAUGGCUGCAUAGUAUUCCAUGGUGUAUAUGUGCCACAUUUUCUUAAUCCAGUCUAUCAUUGAUGGACAUUUGAGUUGGUUCCAAGUCUUUGCUAUUGUGAAUAGUGCAGCAAUAAAUGUACAUGUGCAUGUGUCUUCAUAGCAGCAUGUUUUAUAAUCCUUUGGGUAUAUACCCAGUAAUGGAAUGGCAGGGUCAAAUGUUAUUUCUAGUUCUAGAUCCCUGAGGAAUCACCACACCUUCUUCCGCAAUGGUUGAACUAGUUUACAGUCCCACCAACAGUGUAAAAGUGUUCCUAUUUCUCCACAUCCUCUCCAGCAGCUGUUGUUUCCUGACUUUUUAAUGAUUGCCAUUCUAACUGGUGUGAGAUGGUAUCUCAUUGUGGUUUUGAUCUGCAUUUCUCUGAUGGCCAGUGAAGAUGAGCAUUUUUUCAUGUGUCUGUUGGCUGCAUAAAUGUCUUCUUUUGAUGAGUGUCUGUUCAUAUCCUUUGCCCACUUUUUGAUGGGGUUGUUUGUUUUUUUCUUGUAAAUUCGUUUGAGUUCUUUGUAGAUUCUGGAUAUUAGCCCUUUGUCAGAAGAGUAGAUUGCAAAAUUUUCUUCCAUUCUGUAGGCUGCCUGUUCACUCUGAUGGUAGUUUCUUUUGCUGUGCAGAAGCUCUUUAGUUUAAUUAGAUCCCAUUUGUCAAUUUUGGCUUUUGUUGCCAUUGCUUUUGGUCUUUUAGUCAUGAAGCCCUUUCCCAUGCCUAUGUCCUGAAUGGUAUUGACUAGGUUUUCUUCUAGGGUUUUUAUGGCUUUAGGUCUAACAUGCAAGUCUUUAAUCCAUCUUGAAUUAAUUUUUGUAUAAGGUAUAAAGAAGAGAUCCAGUUUCAGCUCUCUACAUAUGGCUAGCCAGUUUUCCCAGCACCAUUUAUUAAAUAGGGAAUCCUUUCCCCAUUUUUUGUUUCUUUCAGGUUUGUCAAAGAUCAGAUGGUUGUAGAUGUGUGGUAUUAUUUCUGAGGGCUCAGGUCUGUUCAGUUGGUCUAUAUCUCUGUUUGGUACCAGUACCAUGCUAUUUUGGUUACUGUAGAAGGCUACAAUUAUGCACAAUUAUGUUAUUAUAGUCACUGGUAUGCUAUUAAGUAGUGCUGAUACGCUAUUAAGUAGUUUUUAGUCAGCUAAAAACUCUCAAUAAACUAGGUAUUGAUGGGACAUAUCUCAAAAUAAUAAGAGCUAUUUAUGGCACACCUACAGCCAAUAUCAUACUGAAUGGGCAAAACUGGAAGCAUUCCCUUUGAAAACUGGCACAAGACAGGGAUGCCCUCUCUCAUCACUCCUGUUCAACAUAGCGUUGGAAGUUCUGUCCAGCGCAAUCAGACAGAAGAAAGAAAGAAAGCAUCUUCUAUUAGGAAAAGAGGAAAUCAAAUUGUCCCUGUUUGCAGAUGACAUGAUUGUAUAUUUAGAAAACCCCAUCGUCUCAGACCAAAAUCCCCUUAAGCUGAUAUGCAAAUUCAGCAAAUUCUAAGGAUACAAAAUCAAUGUGCAAAAAUCACAAGCAUUUGUAUGCACCAAUAACAGACAAACAGAGAGCCAAAUCAUGAGUGAACUCCCAUUCACAAUUGCUUCAAAGAGAAUAAAAUACCUAGGAAUCCAACUUACAAGGGAUGUGAAGGACCUCUUCAAGGAAAACUACAAACCACUGCUCAAUGAAAUAAAAGAGGACACAAAUAAAUGUAAGAACAUUCCAUGCUCAUGAAUAGGAAGAAUCAAUAUCAUGAAAAUGGCCAUACUGCCCAAGGUAAUUUGUAGAUUCAAUGCUAUCCCCAUCAAGCUAUAAAGGCGCAGAAUUGGAAAAAACUACUUUAAAGUUCAUAUGGAACCAAAAAAGAGCCUGCAUUGCCAACACAAUCCUAAGCAAAAAGAAAAAAGCUGGAGGCAAGAAAAUACUUUAUAUUAUAACUUUGAUCUCAUUAAUUCUUAUUGGGCAGUUUAUGUUUUGCCUUUAUUCCAGGCUUAAUUUUGGUAGGUUAUAUUUGCCUAGGAUAGUGACAACUUAAAUUUUCCAAUUUCUUUGCAUAAGUAGUAAUCCUUUGAAUUUCUUUUUUUAAAUUUUAUUAUUAUUAUACUUUAAGUUUUAAGGUACAUGUGCACAACGUGCAGGUUUGUUACAUAUGUAUACGUGUGCCAUGUUGGUGUGCUGCACCCAUUAACUCAUUGUUUAGCAUUAGGUAUAUCUCCUAAUGCUAUCCCUCCCCACUCCCCCAACCCCACAACAGUCCCCAGUGUGUGAUGCUCCCCUUCCUGUGUCCAAGUGUUCUCAUUGUUCAGUUCCCACCUAUGAGUGAGAAUAUGCGGUGUUUAGUUUUUUGUCCUUGUGAUAGUUUGCUGAGAAUGAUGGCUUCCAGUUUCAUCCAUGUUCCUGCAAAGUACAUGAACUCAUCAUUUUUUAUGGCUGCAUAGUAUUCCAUGGUGUAUAUGUGCCACAUUUUCUUAAUCCUGUCUAUCAUUGAUGGACAUUUGAGUUGGUUCCAAGUCUUUGCUAUUGUGAAUAGUGCCACAAUAAACAUACGUGUGCAUGUGUCUUUAUAGCAGCAUGAUUUAUAGUCCUUUGGGUAUAUACCCAGUAAUGGGAUGGCUGGGUCAAAUGGUAUUUCUAGUUCUAGAUCCCUGAGGAAUCGCCACACUGACUUCCACAAUGGUUGAACUAGUUUACAGUCCCACCAACAGUGUAAAAGUGUUUUAUUUCUCCACAUCCUCUCCAGCACCUGUUGUUUCCUGACUUUUUAAUGAUUGCCAUUCUAACUGGUGUGAGAUGGUAUCUCAUUGUGGUUUUGAUCUGCAUUUCUCUGAUGGCCAGUGAAGAUGAGCAUUUUCUCAUGUGUUUUUUGGCUGCAUAAAUGUCUUCUUUUGAGAAGUGUCUGUUCAUAUACUUCACCCACUUUUUGAUGGGGUUGUUUGUUUUUUCUUGUAUAUUUGUUUGAGUUCAUUGUAGAUUCUGGAUAUUAGCCCUUUGUCAGAUGAGUAGGUUGUGAGCUUCUGCAUGGCAAAAGAAACUACCAUCAGAGUGAACAGGCAACCUACAGAAUGGGAGAAAACUUUUGCAACCUACUCAUCUGAUCCUUUGAAUUUCUGUAGUAUCAUUUUAUAUCCAGUUUUUAAUUUCUGAUUUUAUUUAUGUGGGUCUCCUUUUUUUUCUUAUUCUGGCUGAAACUUCCUCAGAUUUGUUUAGCUUUUGAUAUAAUUAACAUCUCUAAUUGACUUUUGUGUUAUUUUCUUUAUGCUUAACAUUAUUAUGAGUAUAUUUUUUAAAUUUUAACUUUUUGGGUAUAUAAUAAGUAUAUAUAUUUAUGGGUGACAUAAGAUGUCAUGGUAUAGGCAUGCAAUGUGAAAUACGGGAAUUGGGUAUCCAUAAUCUCAUGUACUUAACCACUGUGUUGAAAACAAUAUAAUUAUAUCUUUAAGAUAUUUCAAAAUGCACAAUUAUUUUAUUAUGGUCACUGGUAUGCUAUUAAGUAUUAAGUAUUUUUAAUUAUUUCUAAUGUUUUUGCAACCAUUAAUCAUUCCCACCUCUUCCCCUCCCUCCCAAUACCUUUCCAAGACACUGGCAACCAUCCGCUAUGUAUAAAUAUGUUUUUAUUUUUAGGUUCCUAAAUAAGUGUGAACAUGUGUUCAUUGUCUCUCUGUACUUGGCUUAUUUCACAAAAUAUAAUAACUUUAUUUCCAUCUAUGGUGUUGCAAAUGACUGGAUUUUAUUUUUAUUGUCUAUAUUGUACUCUUUUGUGUGUAUGUUUCACAUUUUCUUCAUACAUUCUUCUGGAAGAAUGGACACUUAAGUUGUUUUUAAAUCUUAGCUAUUGCAAACAGUGCUGCAACAAACAUAAAAUCACGGACAUUUCUUUGAUAUAUUCACUUCUUUUUUUCUGGGAUAUAUGCUUAGCAGUAAGAUACAUGGUAGCUGAAUCAUAUGGUAGCUCAAUUAUUAGUUUUUUGUGGAAUGUUCAAAUUUUUUUUCAUAAUGCUUGUACCAAUUUACAUUCCCACCAACAGUGUACAAAGAUACCAUUUUAUUCGAAUCCUCACCAGUAUUUGUUAUUGCCUGUUUUAUGAAUAUAAGCAAUUUUAGCUGGUGUAUGGCAGACUUCCAAAAUCAAAUUUCAAUUUCAAUGUUGUCCUCCCUGUUGCCCAGCUUUUCGGAACUAUAUAGAGGCCCUGAAGUAUCCAGAAAAGGGGUAAACAGGAUUAUUUGACAUGUUUAGGUUUAUGAGAUUGCCGAAGUGAUGUCUAAUCUUCUUCAUGCUAUAGUUUAGUGAAUUAUAUUAAUGUACUUUUUAAAACCAUAUGGAACAUCUAAGGCUCUAAUGUCUGAAUAUGUACUAUCAAUCACAGUUCAGGUUAUUUUGUUGGGUUAUUGUAAACCCCCAAAACAACUGAAUUUCUUUGCUCAUUGUGUUCCUGAUUGUAUUCACUCUGGAGAUUUUGUCAUUUAAAGACAAUUGUUGUCUGGUUUUAAUUGUCUUUAAAAUAUGGUUUAUAAUCAACUUUGAAAUUUUAAAAGGUGUUCUGAAAUGCAUGUUUUUGAUAACUGAAAAUCACACAGAGCUCAUGAAAAGCUAAAAUGUUUAUAAUUGUAAAGCAGAGCAAUAGUUAAUAAAAGAAAGUAAACUAAUAGAAAACUAAAGCAGUAUUUUUUACUUUUGCUUGGAACAUUGCUGAUUCUCAUUUUGUUGUUUAGAGUCAAAAAAAAUUUCAUAAAACCAGAGACUGUUACAUCUUGGUCCACUGUUGAGACUACAACACUUCUUGUUUUCCUCUUUCUUAUUCAAUUUAUAUCAGUAUGGCCUCAUAAAUAUUUAUUUUAUUAUCUUGGUUAUAAAUUAAUGUUAUUCUUAUUUAUUUUGUUGCUCCCAUUUCUUCAGCUUGGCCUAUUGGAAAGUCCAUGUGGCAAUUCCAUAAUCUUCACAAGGUGUCCAUCAAUAUGCCUCAAUCGCCUUCUCUACUGUGACAGCUGACAUUGCAGAAACAGUGGCUUUUAAACCCUGUGCUUGCCUUUGAGUUUUCACUGAACAAAAGUGAAGGUGGCUAAUUUCCUUGUUGGAACAAAGCUGAAAUAUAUUGCCU
rnacentral:lncRNA from 1 species